CCUACGGGGGGCUGCAGUGGGGAAUAUUGGACAAUGGGCGAAAGCCUGAUCCAGCCAUGCCGCGUGUGUGAAGAAGGCCUUCGGGUUGUAAAGCACUUUCAGUGGGGAAGAAAGCCUUGGGGCUAAUACCCUCGAGGAAGGACAUCACCCACAGAAGAAGCACCGGCUAACUCCGUGCCAGCAGCCGCGGUAAUACGGAGGGUGCGAGCGUUAAUCGGAAUUACUGGGCGUAAAGCGCGCGUAGGCGGUCUGAUAAGCCGGUUGUGAAAGCCCCGGGCUCAACCUGGGAACGGCAUCCGGAACUGUCAGGCUAAAGUGCAGGAGAGGAAGGUAGAAUUCCCGGGGUAGCGGUGAAAGGCGUAGAGAUCGGGAGGAAUACCAGUGGCGAAGGCGGCCUUCUGGACUGACACUGACGCUGAGGUGCGAAAGCGUGGGUAGCAAACAGGAUUAGAUACCCCAGUAGUC
rnacentral:rRNA from 1 species